AACGCAAAUUGCGCUCUUUGGUAUUCCGAAGAGCAUGCCUGUUUGAGUGUCAUAAUAACCCUCACCUUUCUUGGUUUUAUGAACCAGGAAUUGGGUGGUUUGGACGUCUGCCAGCUUCACGGUUGGCUCGUCUUAAAUGCAUUAGUGGAAAUCAAUAGCGUGAUAAGUCUUCGCUUUAAGAACACCACUUUAAAUCAUCUAUUUCUCUGACCUCAAAUCAGGUAGGACUACCCGCUGAACUUAA
rnacentral:misc_RNA from 1 species